GUUGAUAAUAACACAGGAAGUAAAACCUGAGUUCCUUAGAGGAAAGGUGAGUUACAGAUGUAAUAAGUAAAUGGGAAUCUCUUUUCAUAGCAGCACUUAGCUCUUGAGACAUGUGAACUAAAAAUGAUAGGAAAUGUCUCUGAACAUGUGCAUCACUCACAAUAUAUCUUAUUUCUCUAUAUCUGCAGUUGGGGCAAGAGCAUUUAGGGUAGUGUGUCAUAUCCAGGAAGUCUCACUGCUUUCAAUGAUUCAUAAUUUUAAGUACGUCCAAAUGAAAUCAGCGUGAUUACAGGACUAUUUUCAAGAAAUGGUUAAGAAACUAUGCCUUUUGAUUCCAUUCUGCAAACUUCUUGUACAAAUGCUAGGGUUGCCAUAUUUCAAAAAGUAAAAACCAGGACAUCCCUAACAUAUGCUGCUGAGGUGUUCAUAGGUGUUCAUGCUUGUAAUGGGUUCUCUGUUUAGUCUAUAUCAGUUUACACUGAUGUGCAAAUUGUACCACUAUGUUGAAUUGCGAAGUCUGUGCAACACAACAUUGAUGUGCAUAUCAUAGCUUUUGUGUUCUUCAAAGUAGAAGCUAUACUAAGGAUUGUUUUGAAUUACGUUUUACUCAAAAAGGCCCAUUGGAAUUAAUGACCUAAGCUAGCCAUAUCUAUUAAUUUCAAUCAGUUUAUUCUAAGUAAGACAUACAAUGAAUACAUUCCUAAGUACUAUUAACAUAUUUGAAAAGUUCAAAGGUGCUAUUUCAUUCUAUAACCAUUUUAUAAAAUGCACAUUAAUAAACAAGCAGUAAUUGUCAUAUAUACUGAAUCCUUGAAAUGACUACUAUCCAAGAGAAAUAUUGCUUAAUAUUUCACAUUCUGUUAUGCAUAUGCCAGAAUUGCUAAUUCGUAAGAACAUGAACAAAGAGGGCUAUUUUGAUCACCUCACCCUCAUUAUCUUUAAUUAUAACCUCCUAUAUGAAAAAGUCUGUUAGAUGUAUUAGAAAUAUAUUUAUCUGUGGGGCAUAUUUUGAAAAGAGAAUAAUAUUGUUUCCUGUUUUACAUAAAACAGGCUUGGAGCUGUUGUACAGCUAUACAAACAUUGACUAACUUGUAUAGAGAAGGCAAAUGUAAAGAAUUAUAUUGUAAAUAUAUCUACAAUAUCACUUUCUAUAGCUGUUGUAUAGUUAUUACUGUAAAUCUAGGUUGCGUUUUGUCUAAAUCUUUCAUUAACAGACCUAGUGUAAAGAACAAAUAAUAUUAAAUAUAUUUAACCUGAAAAUAAUAUUUUUUUUUGGGGGGGGGGACAACAUUUCUGGAUAUUGCUUAUUUCAGUUUGCUGAUUAUCUAUACUUAGUUCCCAUAUGGAUGCUAAUCAUACUCAUAUUAUUUUAAAAUGUUAUACUUAGGUAAUUUGUAUAAAAUACACAAAGUGCAGUAUAUUGUGUAUGAUUUCAAUACACUGGCAAGUAUUUUUUUAAAAAAAUAGAAACCCUUCUCUCAAAGGCACUAUACAUAGAACAACACAAACAACCUGCUAUGAAAAUCAGAAACCAAAAAACAAAACAAAAACCUGAGCCACAAUUUUUAUUCAACAAUUUUAAAAGCCUAGAUUUGCUACAAGUAAAUUUACUGGGAGCAAAUUCCAUUUAACUCAGUUCUAAGAAACACACUGCAAUGGGCUGCAAAACAAUGUUAAAUAAUUCUGAGCGAUCAAUAAGAAUAAUGAGCAAAAGGCACAUGUUUCAACUUCAAGCAGUGUUUGAGAAAUAGGUUGAAAGUUCAAAACAAGUGGUCUUAACAAAACACAAAAGAUUAGCUAUAUAACAAACCAAGAACAGCUGUUUCCUGUUAUAUUCCAGUAGGGGGAACUAAAGAUUCACCAUCUAACAUUGCUUUUGGCUUACAGACCUGUGUAUAUUCCUCUAACCCCCUGUCUAAUCAUCAGUGCUAACAUCAAAUAGCUACUCUUGUGAUCACUCACGGCCUCAGCUGCACUUUAUACACUAAAGAUAUUGCAAGUAUUCAGACAUACACCUUUGAUACAGCUAUUCCUUUACUUGAUCAUCCUCUUUAUGCUUAUUCUUCAGUUUGUGCACUCAUUUGUCUUCCCCAACACCCCUACACACAGAAUAUAUAUAUAUUUCUCCUCCUAGCCGAACUGAAAAGGGAAAACUCUCUCUUCACACCCCUUGCUAGACAUGCUUUUACCUCAUGAGAGACCCCAUAUACUCUAUCUUUUUCCUGGAUUGCAUACAUUGUAAGGGCUUCAACAGUUUAGAAAGAAGGUGGUAAAGGUGUUCUUUUUAAGACCUUAAGGAAUUAGGUAGGUUGAAAUGAAGAGCACGGGGUUGUUUAUAAAAUAUUGAUGUGAUAUUCUGUGUUGUGUUCUGUGUUUUGUUUUAGUCAAAACACGAAAAAUGAAAGGUCAGGGAAACAGAGAGCAAACAAAACAAACGCAUAUGGUUGACCCCAAUUUACUACAGCUAAUUUAUGCACAAUGCAAAACACAGAAGAAGGGCUCCUCAUGUUCAGGUUAGCUUACCAUUCCAUAAACAUGAAGAAAGGGUUGCAACCACAGUUACUGUGUGUAAGAGAGUUGCUUGAAGAGCUUGUGAAUGGCUUCUAUGUCAGUUCCAUGCAUGUACUCUUCUGAAUGUGCAGAGUUGAUCACAUCAUUGCUUUCACAGAUGCAGAAACUAGAAUUCUGCUCAAUUUGCAUUCUUGGUAGAAUGCACAUUUCAAGCUAGUUUGGGAAUAUGAUGUUUUGUUUGUACAAGACCUCACCAUAAGUUCUGUCAGGUAGCAAGGUGGGAUAGGGUGGUCAUCCUGGAACAGAAAUUACAUUGGGGGGGGCUUCCCCCCUUACCACAGUGGUAUCCUACAAAAUCCCAGUGUUGAUAAGUACAUACAUAUAACCUGUGUAUAUGUAUACAUAAAAUAAGUCAACCCAAUUUUGAAAGUCACAAAGCACAAGGGCAGUGCAAAUAAGAACUGAGCUGAUAGCUCAGUCCUACUCAUGCUUACUCUGAAGUCCCACUGUGUUCAGUGAGCCUUAUUCCCCAUAAAAAGAUGCAUAGAAUUGUGGCCUUAAUCUUGCAUAUGAUCUGUGCACAUAUAUGGUAUAGGGCAUCUGCAUGUAUAAACAUGUUCCAGGCAGCCACAAUGUGGCAUGUUUAUACUGGAAGGAGGGUUGCAUAAAUUGGUUGUACACCCAUCAUAUAAUAUACAGAGCCCAGCUUGCGGCAGGAUUCUGGAAUCUAACUGCAACCUUGUAUUAGAGUAGGUCUGACUAUAUACACUGGAAGUAGUGUAUACACUGUACUAUACAGUGUAUACACUGGACUAUAUACAGGAGUAGGUCUGACUAUAUACACUGGAACUUGUGUGAGUAAAUAAGUAUACAGCGGUACCUCGGGUUAAGUACUUAAUUCGUUCCGGAGGUCCAUUCUUAACCUGAAACUGUUCUUAACUAGAGGCGUGCUUUCGCUAAUGGGGCCUCUUGCUGCCGCUGCGCUGCUGGCACACGAUUUCCAUUCUCAUCCUGGGGCAAAGUUCUCAACUCGAGGUAACUCUUCUAGGUUAGUGGAGUUUGUAACCUGAAGCGUUUGUAACCUGAGGCGUUUGUAACUGGAGGUACCACUGUAACUUGUAUUUGCAUAAGGCAAUGCUGACUUGCCUCCAUUUUACUUUUAAAGGGAGUUGGUACCUUUUUUUUUGUUUUGUUAGCCAUCUGUGGUCCUCCUGAGUGGCUGGGCGGGCUUUAAGCAACUACAAAUAUUACGCCGUAAUCCGGGAGAAGGGGUCUUUGAACAUGUGCAGAAUGUCAUAGUUCUCUCCCUACUAAGCAGCAGCUGCAUAUCACUACACACCUGGAAUUAGGCAACAUGAUCGCCUUCCUGCACCUCCCUUUUUUAGAAAGUACCAGCACAUGAAAGCUAAGUGAGAAGAAGAGGUUGAAAUUGCCGUCUUCUUUCAAAGGCCUCCCUGUGACAGAGAGAGAGAGAAGAGGCGAGGAAGACUGAAUAAUUAGGGAAGAGACUUCCAUGAAAUCGCUCGUCGAGAAAAUUACCUGCCCAUUAAAUGAGAAGCAGUGAGAAGC
rnacentral:lncRNA from 1 species